GACGAACGCUGGCGGCGUGCUUAACACAUGCAAGUCGAACGGAAAGGCCCUGCUUUUGUGGGGUGCUCGAGUGGCGAACGGGUGAGUAACACGUGAGUAACCUGCCCUUGACUUUGGGAUAACUUCAGGAAACUGGGGCUAAUACCGGAUAGGAGCUCCUGCUGCAUGGUGGGGGUUGGAAAGUUUCGGCGGUUGGGGAUGGACUCGCGGCUUAUCAGCUUGUUGGUGGGGUAGUGGCUUACCAAGGCUUUGACGGGUAGCCGGCCUGAGAGGGUGACCGGCCACAUGGGGACUGAGAUACGGCGCAGACUGCUACGGGAGGCAGCAGUGGGGAAUAUGGCACAGUGAGCGGAAGCCUGAUGCGGCAACGCCGCGUGCGGGAUGACGGCCUUCGGGUUGUGAACCGCUUUCGCCUGUGACGAAGCGUGAGUGACGGUAAUGGGUAAAGAAGCACCGGCUAACUACGUG
rnacentral:rRNA from 1 species